rnacentral:rRNA from 1 species
AGAGUUUGAUCCUGGCUCAGAAUGAACGCUGGCGGCAUGGAUUAGGCAUGCAAGUUGAACGGUAACAGAGGAGCUUGCUCCUGCUGACGAGUAGCGAAAGGGUGAGUAGCCCGUGAGUAACCUGCCUUAAAGUCGGGGAUAGCCCUUGGAAACGAGGAUUAAUACCGGAUGUGGUUCUUCUUCCGCAUGGUUGAAGAACUAAAAUUUUUUGCUUUAUGAUGGGCUCGCGUAUCAUCAGCUAGUUGGUAAGGUAACGGCUUACCAAGGCGACGACGAUUAGGUGGUCUGAGAGGACGAUCACCCACACUGGGACUGAGACACUGCCCAGACUCCUACGGGAGGCUGCAGUCGAGAAUCUUCCGCAAUGCGCGAAAGCGUGACGGAGCGAUGCCGCGUGCAGGAUGAAGGCCUUCGGGUCGUAAACUGCUGUCACUCGGGACGAAUUUUGACGGUACCGAGAGAGGAAGCACCGGCUAACUACGUGCCAGCAGCCGCGGUAAUACGUAGGGUGCGAGCGUUAUUCGGAUUUAUUGGGCGUAAAGGGUUCGUAGGAGGUUAUAUAAGUUUGAUGUGAAAUCUCCAGGCUCAACCUGGAAACUGCAUUGGAUACUGUAUGACUAGAGUAUUGGAGAGGUAAGCGGAAUUCCUGGUGUAGCGGUGGAAUGCGUAGAUAUCAGGAGGAACACCGACGGCGAAGGCAGCUUACUGGACAAUUACUGACUCUGAGGAACGAAAGCUAGGGUAGCAAACAGGAUUAGAUACCCUGGUAGUCCUAGCUGUAAACGUUGUAUACUAGAUGUAGGUGGAUUGGUCCCAUCUGUGUCCAAGCUAACGUGAUAAGUAUACCGCCUGGGGAGUACGGCCGCAAGGCUAAAACUCAAAGGAAUUGACGGGGGCCCGCACAAGCGGUGGAGCAUGUGGCUUAAUUCGAGGCAACGCGAAGAACCUUACCUGGACUUGAAAUAUACGGGACAACCCUAGAAAUAGGGCUUCUGCUUGCAGUCCGUAUACAGAUGCUGCAUGGCUGUCGUCAGCUCGUGCCGUGAGGUGUUCGGUUAAGUCCGGCAACGAGCGCAACCCACGUCACUAUUUGCCAUCAGGUAAUGCUGGGAACUAUAGUGAGACUGCCCGUGUCAAGCGGGAGGAAGGCGUGGACGACGUCAAGUCAGUAUGGCUCUUACGUCCAGGGCUGCACACGUGCUACAAUGGCUGGUACAAUGGGCUGCCACCCCGCGAGGGGGAGCUAAUCUCUAAAACCAGCCCCAGUUCGGAUCGUAGUCUGCAACUCGACUACGUGAAGUUGGAAUCGCUAGUAAAGGCGUAUCAGCAACGACGCCUUGAAUACGUUCCCGGGCCUUGUACACACCGCCCGUCACAUCAUGGAAGCCUGUUGCACCCGAAGUCGCUGACCUAACCCGCAAGGGAGGGAGGUGCCGAAGGAGUGGCCGGUAACUGGGAUGAAGUCGUAACAAGGUA